UCCUUUCUAAUUGGUGUUUCUGGUUUCUUGGGAUAUAUUCCUAGAAGUGGGAUCACUGGGUCAAAUGGGAGUUCCAUUUUUAACUUUUUGAGAAAACUCCAUACUGUCUUCCAUAGUGGCUGCACCAGUUUGCAUUCCCACCAGCAGUGCACGAGUGUUCCCUUUUCUCCACAUCCUCUCCAGCACUUGUCGUUUGUUGAUUUGUUGAUGAUAGCCAUUCUGACAGGUGUGAGAUGAUACCUCAUUGUUGUUUUGAUUUGCAUCUCUCGGAUGAUUAGUGACUUUGAGCAUGUUUUCAUAUGUCUCUUGACUUUCUGAAUGUCCUCUUUUGAAAAGUGUCUGUUUUGGUCCUUUGCCCAUUUUUUGAUUGGAUUGUUUAUCUUUUUCCAGGAUGUUUUUAAUUUCUUCUUUGAUCUCAUUGGUAACCCAAUCAAUAUUUAAUAACAUGCUAUUCAGCUUCCAAGUGGUUGAGUGUUUUGGAUUGUUUUUAUUGUAGUUUAUUUCUAAUAUUAUGCCAUUGUGAUCUGAGAAGAUGCUUGGUAUGAUUUCAGUCUUCUUGAAUUUGGGGAGACUUUGCUUGUGACCCAAUGUGUGGUCUAUUUUUGAAAAUGUCCCAUGUGCACUUGAGAAGAACGUAUAUUCUGCGGCUUUGGGGUGAAAUGUUCUGAAGAUGUCAGUUAAGUCCAUCUGAUCUAGUGAGUCAUUUAGGAUUGAUGUUUCUUUGCUGACUUUUUGUCUAGAGGAUUUAUCCAGUGAUGUCAGUGGUGUAUUAAAGUCCCCUAUUAUGAUUGUAUUGUUGUCGAUCUCUCCCUUGAUACCUUCCAGGAGGUUUUUUAUGUAUUUGGGUGCUCCUACAUUGGAUGCAUAUGUUUAUCAGGGUUAUAUCCUCUUGUUGUAUCGAUCCCUUUAGUACUAUGAAGUGGCCUUCCUUAUCUCUUGUUAUGGCCUUCACUUUGAGGUCUAUUUUGUCCGAUAUAAGUAUUGCUACCUUUAUCACUUUUCUUUCGUCUUUCGAAGGACACUUUUGUUGUUUCCAUGUCUUGGUUACCAUGUAUAAUGCUGCAGUGAACAUAGGGGUGCAUAUAUCUUUGCCAAUAAAUGUUUUCAAGAUUUUUCAGGUAGAUAUUCAGAAGAAGGGUUGCUGGGUCAUAUGUGGUCUCUGUUCUUAAUUUUUUGAGGAACUUUCUUACUGUUUUCCAUGGUGGUUUUACCAGUUUACAUUCCCAUCAUCAGUGAAUGAGGGUUCCUUUUUCUCCACACCUUUCCAACACUUGGUAUUACUUGUCUUGUUGAUAAUAGCCAUUCUAACAGUGUGAUGUGUCACCUCAUUGUAGUUUUGAUUUUCAUUUCCCUAACAGCUAAUGAAGUUAAGCAUGUUUUCAUAAAUGUUUUGGCCACUUGUAUGUCUUCUUUAACGAAGUGUCUGUUCCGGUCCUCUGCCCAUUUUUUAAAUGGAUUGUUUUUUGUGUAUUGUUGAGCUGUAUGAAUUCUUUAUAUAUUUUGGAUAUUAGCACCUUGUUGGAGCUGUUGUUUCCAAAUAUCUUCUUCCAUUUGGUUGGUUGCCUUUUUGUUUUGUUGGCUAUUUCUCUUGCUGUGCAGAAGCUUUUUAGUUUUUUUUCUUCAUAUUUUAUUGAUUUUUUACAGAGAGAAAGGGAGAGGGAUAGAGAAUUAGAAACAUCGAUGGGAGAGAAACAUUGAUCAGCUGUCUCCUGCACACCUCCUACUGGGGAUGUGCCCACAACCAAGGUACAUGCCCUUGACCGGAAUCGAACCUGGGACCUUUCAGUCCGCAGGCCGACGCUCUAUCCACUGAGCCAAACCAGUUAGGGCGCUUUUUAGUUUUAUAUGGUCCCAUUCAUUUAUUUUUGUCUUUACUUCUCUUGCCUUUUGGGUCAAAUUUAUAAAAUUUCCUCUAAGACUAAGAUCAUAAGUUUAAUACCUAUCUUUUCUUCUAUGUAGUUCAUUGUUUUGGGUCUUAUAUUUAGGUUUUUGAUCCAUUUUGAGUUAAUGUUUGUGUAUGGGACAAACUGUAGUCUAGUUUCAUUCUUUUGUGUGUGGCUCUCCAGUUUUCUUAGCACAAUUUGUUGAAGAAGCAUUUUCCCUCCAUUUUAUGCUUGUGGCUCCUUUAAACUACAAAACAUUAUUUUAAAAGGUUGAAAAAACACACAAUGAAAUAGAUAUUUUUGUUUAUGGAUUGGAAGAAUCAACAAUAUGUCCUAAAGCAAUACACAGAUUCAAUGCAAGCCCUAUCAAAAUGCCAAUGAAGUUUCUUAAUGAAAUAGAAUAAAAAAUUAUCAGAUUUGUAUGGAACUACAAAAGACCUCAAAUAGCCAAAACAAUCCUGCGAAGAAAGAAUGAAGCCCUAGGUAUCACAUUCCCUAACUUCAAGUUUUACUACAAAGUGAUAAUAAUCAAAACAAUGUGGUAUUGGUAGAAAAACAGACACAAGGACCUAUGGAACAGAAUUAAGAGUCCAGAAAUAAACCUACAUGUAUUUGGGUAAAUAUAACAACGGACUUUUUAAAAGCAAUUUUUUUAGGGUAAAAGUUUUUAAAAUAAUACUUCUAGUUAGAGUAUUUUUUGGAAGUUGUAUUGGUGUUAUCAGAAUCUUCAAAUACCAUGUUUAACUGACAAUGAUCAUAAAGGGUGCAUACAAUGAUUUUACAGCUCCUAAUUACACAGCUAUUUGUUUUCUCCUAAGACCCAUUUUUCUCUAACAUAAAUAACGUAUUUUAUGUUGUGGUUGGUAUGCAGAAUUGUUGGAUCAAUACAAAUUGUUUCCAGAUGUUUGUCACCCCCUAGAACAUUCUUCACAUUAAAUUUUUUUUUGGUUUGAGAUUUGGAUUUUUUAUUUUGUUUAUAUUUUUAUGUCAAGUAACCAAGUCCUUUGAUAAUGUAUUUUAUAUGAGAGGUUGUUAUCAAUUAAUAUCAUUAAAAACUCUUUGCCAAAAAAAAAAAAAUAA